GACUCCUACGGGAGGCAGCAGUGGGGAAUAUUGCGCAAUGGGCGAAAGCCUGACGCAGCGACGCCGCGUGGGGGAUGACGGCCUUCGGGUUGUAAACCUCUUUCGCCAUCGACGAAGCCUUUGGGUGACGGUAGGUGGAGAAGAAGCACCGGCCAACUACGUGCCAGCAGCCGCGGUAAUACGUAGGGUGCGAGCGUUGUCCGGAAUUAUUGGGCGUAAAGAGCUCGUAGGCGGUGUGUCGCGUCGGUCGUGAAAACUUGGGGCUUAACUCUGAGCUUGCGGUCGAUACGGGCAUCACUUGAGUUCGGCAGGGGAGACUGGAAUUCCUGGUGUAGCGGUGAAAUGCAUAUAUAUCAGGACAAACACCGGUGGCGAAGGCGGGUCUCUGGGCCGAUACUGACGCUGAGGAGCGAAAGCGUGGGGAGCGAACAGGAUUAGAUACCCUGGUAGUCCACGCCGUAAACGGUGGGCGCUAGGUGUGGGGGCCAUUCCACGGUCUCUGUGCCGCAGCUAACGCAUUAAGCGCCCCGCCUGGGGAGUACGGCCGCAAGGCUAAAACUCAAAGGAAUUG
rnacentral:rRNA from 1 species